GAUGAACGCUGGCGGCGUGCCUAGUACAUGCGAGUCGAGCGAACAGACGAGGAGCUUGCUCCUCUGACGUUAUCGGCGGACGGGUGAGUAACACGUGGAUAACCUACCUAUAAGACUGGGAUAACUUCGGGAAACCGGAGCUAAUACCGGAUAAUAUAUUGAACCGCAUGGUUCAAUAGUGAAAGACGGUAUUGCUGUCACUUAUAGAUGGCUCCGCGCCGAAUUAGCUAGUUGGUAAGGUAACGGCUUACCAAGGCAACGAUGCGUAGACGACCUGAGAGGGAGAUCGGCCACAUGGGAAGUGAGACAGGGUCCAGACACCUGGGGGAGGCAGCAGUAGGGAAUCUUCCGCAAGGGGCGAAAGCCUAACGGAGCAACGCCGCGUAAGUGAUGAAGGACUACGGAUCGUAAAACUCUGUUAUUAGGGAAGAACAAAUGUGUAAGUAACUAUGAACAUCUUGACGGUACCUAAUCAGAAAGCCACGGCUAACUACGUG
rnacentral:rRNA from 1 species